AGAGGUUUGAUCCUGGCUCAGAUUGAACGCUGGCGGCAUGCCUUACACAUGCAAGUCGAACGGCAGCGGGGACUUCGGUCCGCCGGCGAGUGGCGAACGGGUGAGUAAUAUAUCGGAACGUACCUUUCAGUGGGGGAUAACGUAGCGAAAGUUACGCUAAUACCGCAUAUUCUGUGAGCAGGAAAGCAGGGGAUCGCAAGACCUUGCGCUGAUUGAGCGGCCGAUAUCAGAUUAGCUAGUUGGUGAGGUAAAGGCUCACCAAGGCGACGAUCUGUAGCGGGUCUGAGAGGAUGAUCCGCCACACUGGAACUGAGACACGGUCCAGACUCCUACGGGAGGCAGCAGUGGGGAAUUUUGGACAAUGGGGGCAACCCUGAUCCAGCCAUGCCGCGUGAGUGAAGAAGGCCUUCGGGUUGUAAAGCUCUUUCGGCCGGGAAGAAAUCGCACGGGCUAAUACCCUGUGUGGAUGACGGUACCGGAAUAAGAAGCACCGGCUAACUACGUGCCAGCAGCCGCGGUAAUACGUAGGGUGCGAGCGUUAAUCGGAAUUACUGGGCGUAAAGCGUGCGCAGGCGGUUUAGUAAGACAGGCGUGAAAUCCCCGGGCUCAACCUGGGAACUGCGCUUGUGACUGCUAAGCUAGAGUACGGCAGAGGGGGGUGGAAUUCCACGUGUAGCGGUGAAAUGCGUAGA
rnacentral:rRNA from 1 species